UGUGCAGGUGCUGAUAACAAAGACAGGGACAUUAGCACUCUAUAAGAGAAUGAUGAUUUGUCUGUUGGGAAUCUUUGAUGCAUA